AGAGUUUGAUCCUGGCUCAGAUUGAACGCUGGCGGCAUGCCUAACACAUGCAAGUCGAACGGCAGCAUGAUGCGUAGUAAUACGUAUUGAUGGCGAGUGGCGGACGGGUGAGUAAUGCGUAGGGAUCUGCCUAUGGGACGGGGACAACUUGGGGAAACCUGAGCUAAUACCCGGUAAGCUCUAAGGAGGAAAGCAUGGGA
rnacentral:rRNA from 1 species